ensembl:lncRNA
GUAAAAAAUAUAUUAAUAUUUACAUGGGGAAAAUGACAAAUAUUCAGAGUUGUGCUGUGCAUGUGCUUAGCUUUAUUUUCUGGAUGGCUCAUUCAGAUUAUUGAAAUUACCUGCAUUCAGUUCACUCUCCAAUGUUUAUUUUUCUUUUAUAGACAUGUAGUGUAUGGUUUUCCAUUUUAAAAACACUAUAGGAUAACAGCAAAGAAACUAUAACAAUAAAAUGCAAAUACUAAGAAAGCAUAGAUAAAAAUAAAAGUCUAACAGUAGCCAAUUAUAUUGAGAAUGAGUAUAAUUGUCUUGAACUUUCUAAGUUGUGAUCAUCUGUGUAGUUUGAAAUUAUUAACAAUUUGAAAUUCAUUUCAGGUUUGUCCUCAUUUAUCAGAUUGUUUCACCCAAAUUAUAUGGCCAUGAAGUCAUGAAAUGACUCAUGUGGGGCACGCACAUGCUUAUUUAACAUUUAUUAAACAAGAUACUAGUCAGUAUCAAUGCUUUGAGGUAAAGUUGUUUUACUUUGCAGAGAAAGUCUUAAGGAUAGAAGACCUUGUGCUUUUCUACAUCUCAGUUUUUCUUAUUAUUUUCUUUGUUUGUUAUUAUUAACUUUUUAACUUUAUGUGCAAUGUACUAAAUUGUGGCCAUUUUUUGGCUUAGCUUGUGGCCAUGGUUUAGCAGAGAAAUCAACCAAGUAUUCAUCUGUUCGACUGCUAUGAGUACAGCAAACUUAAGUAGGCGUAGUUAAUAAUUUUGCCAUAAUAGUUAACAUGCCAUAUAAAUUUCAGUCCUCAAAAGAAAAACUGCUUCAAAUUAAGAUGUCUCCUCCAAGCUCCUCCUUGCAUAUGGAAAAAUCUUGAGUGCUUCAGAUGGGUGUGGAUGAUUCACAUGAUAAUUUAUUUAAUGAUCUUACAUUAAAAUAUUUAAUAUUGCCUUUGAAUAUCAUUUCAAUUCUAAAGUUUUCUUGUGAGUAUUUAAGGUGACUAAAGAAAUAUUAAAUAGCAAAAUUAUGAGUAUUGCUCCAGGCCAGUCAAGCAAGGGGGAAAAACCCUCUUAAAUGCAAGGUCAGUAUCAUGAGUAAGUGAGACAGGCCUCUGUCCUUAAACCAGCUGUUAAUUCAAAUAUAAACCUCAAGCCUCCUGAAAAUCCAUGCUUUCAAUCCAUGCAUCUCAACUCUGAAUACAGCCCAACACUUCUAAAAAUCUUUUUGUAAUGAUGUAAACAAACUCUACUUGAUGUUCCAACUUACCCUCUCAGAAAUAAAGUCACCAUACUGUACUUUUAAAGGGUACAUCUAUUAUAUGGUACCAUUAUUAUAUAUCUGUGCACAAGUUCUGAUUUGUAAGUUGCUUUGGAUAAAAGCGUCUGCUAAAUGAAUAAAUGUAAAUGUAAAUGUAAAUGUAAGUUAUACCUUUAAGGUACAUCACUGGUCCUUAAGAUCCAAUUACCUACUGUAGCUUAAAUUGUUUUUCAAAUGUACACUGUGUUCAUGUUUUGAGGUAAAAGGUACAUACUAAAUGUACAAAGGAUGUACCAUUGGUGGCAUCACCCCAGCAAGAAGGAAAAGUACAGUUUGGUACCUUUAUUUCUGAGUGUCUACAAAACCUAGUUGACUGCAUUUCCAGUAUACCGUCAGUCCAUAAGUAUUUUGACAGUGACACAGUUUUAUUAAUUUUGCCACUGUACCACCACAAUGGAUUUGAAAUGAAGCAAGCAAUUAAGAGGUGACUGAAGUGUAGACUUUCAGCUUUAAUUCAACGGGUUUAACAAAAAAGUAUUGCAUUAACCAUUUAGGAUUUACAGCCAUUAUUAUUAUAAUGAUGAUGAUGAUUAUUAUUAUUAUUAUUAUUAUUAUUACAAAAUCUCUCCAUUUUCACAGGCUCAAAUGUAAUCGGACAAACUAACAAAUACUUAUGGACCCAACUGUAUAUGCCAGCACUGGCCAAAUGAUUACAUGGAUCUAAAAGAAUUGCAUAUCAUUCCACAAUAUAUCCACCAGUAGUCUGACUCCCAUCACAGAACUUUGGUAUAAUUCUCUGCCACAAAUCUGUGAUUUAACUUUUCCAUCUUUGACCUGCGAUAACCUCAUGCAUAAGGAACCAUCACAUGAGGAAUUUUCCCAUGUCUGCUUGAAGAAUCAAUCAAUCAGAACCAGCCCUUUUAGGUUAAUUUAAUGCAGCCUCAUGAAUUAAGCAUCAUCUUUGCAUAGAAACUGACUCUUUCAAAGUGUUCCCAGUUUAGCUUGGUAAGGAUUACAUUUAAGCAAGGUGAACAGUAGAGGUGAACAGUAGAGGUGAAUGUGUCAGAGUGGAAACAGGAUAAGUAGUAAACACAUUGCAUUUGAAUUACAUUUAGAAAAUCAAAAUGAUGAGUGCCACUAGUUAUAUUUGCACAUGCUGACAGCCACUUAUCUAGGACUUGUAUGAACUCCUUGUAUCCCUGAAAUAUAAUUAAUAUUUUGCUAAACUGUUCCAGGAAAAUGUGAAGCCAGCAUUAAACAUAUUUCCCCUCUUCUGCAUACAUGAGAUCACAGAUGCCCACAAUUGACUAGUGAGAGGUUAGAGGUAGACAGGUGAGAGAGAGAGAGAGAGAGAGAGAGAGAGAGAGAGAGAGAGAGAGAGAGGGAGAGAGAGAGAGAGAGAGCAUGCCAUCCCAUUUUCUUGUUGGCUAAAUAAUAACUUGUUUAAUCUGUUUAUUAGUAUCCAGGUAUGCAGAACAUCUGCCAUACAAAUCCCUGUGAAUGAGUUGUUACUAUAUAGAUGAUAACAUAUUAUAACGAACACCUUAAUAAAAAUAAUUUAUAUUAAAGCUGGAACUGCUGUCAAUUAUAGAAAAUUAAUCCACAUUUUUAAAAAAGAAUUAAAUACUGCUGUGGUAUAAGUCAAUAUCUGAUGCAACAUAAAUCUUUUACAGCAUUCUCAUUCUCUCAAUCACAUAAAUGACUUCCAUCAAGGACAAUUUAUUUAUCACUGUGGUUGGGCUUUCACUGCUGGAGCCAGAGAGGUGUUUACAGAGAGGCCCUUGACACAGCACAGAUCAACAGUGUGUAAUCUAAUAUGGUGCCACUAUCUAGCUCCUGUGAAGGCCAAUUUUAAAGAAACAAUAGGCUUUUUAAACAUGCAUUGGCAAUUACUUGGAUUUUUCUUUAUCAGCGAGGCAACUAAACCUGCUAUUAGCUAUAUGAGCAUACAUGUUCUCUCAGGAAUAGAUGAAGAGCAACACCAGUAACUAUAUAAUGGAAUUUGUCUCCAUUUAAUACAACAGCUAAUAAGCUUAUAGGUGAUAUACAGAACUAUUACAGACGAGCAGCUUGUAAACAUCCAGACCAAGAAAUCCACAUGGCUACAACUAGACAAGGGAUUUUUUUUUCUAUGUUACCGAUUGUAUAAUUCCAUGACCUUGCAAUCAGCUACAAAAGCAGCCAGAAUCUUCCUCCUGGUGAGCUUAAUAUUUACAUUUCAAAUUCAUGUCUGUCUCUCUUUGAUGGCUUGGGGUGCUCUUAGGGGAUGAACUUGCUAUGCAGCCUAUGUAAGAGACAGUGCAUAAGGCUUAACCUAAAUCCCCAGAGACACUAGGAAUGUCAGCCUCUGCACACUCAAGACAAGUUUGACAACCCGCUAUACCUGUGUUUCUUA